rnacentral:rRNA from 1 species
GACGAACGCUGGCGGCGUGCUUAACACAUGCAAGUCGAACGGAAAGGCCCUGCUUUUGUGGGGUGCUCGAGUGGCGAACGGGUGAGUAACACGUGAGUAACCUGCCCUUGACUUUGGGAUAACUUCAGGAAACUGGGGCUAAUACCGGAUAGGAGCUCCUGCUGCAUGGUGGGGGUUGGAAAGUUUCGGCGGUUGGGGAUGGACUCGCGGCUUAUCAGCUUGUUGGUGGGGUAGUGGCUUACCAAGGCUUUGACGGGUAGCCGGCCUGAGAGGGUGACCGGCCACAUUGGGACUGAGAUACGGACCAGACUCCUACGGGAGGCAGCAGUGGGGAAUAUUGCACAAUGGGCGGAAGCCUGAUGCAGCAGCGCCGCGUGCGGAAUGACGGCCUUCGGGUUAUAAACCGCUUUCGCCUGUGACGAAGCGUGAGUGACGGUAAUGGGUAAAGAAGCACCGGCUAACUACGUG